GUAUGAAGAAGGCCUUCGGGUUGUAAAGUACUUUCAGCGGGGAGGAAGGGAGUAAAGUUAAUACCUUUGCUCAUUGACGUUACCCGCAGAAGAAGCACCGGCUAACUCCGUGCCAGCAGCCGCGGUAAUACGGAGGGUGCAAGCGUUAAUCGGAAUUACUGGGCGUAAAGCGCACGCAGGCGGUUUGUUAAGUCAGAUGUGAAAUCCCCGGGCUCAACCUGGGAACUGCAUCUGAUACUGGCAAGCUUGAGUCUCGUAGAGGGGGGUAGAAUUCCAGGUGUAGCGGUGAAAUGCGUAGAGAUCUGGAGGAAUACCGGUGGCGAAGGCGGCCCCCUGGACGAAGACUGAC
rnacentral:rRNA from 1 species